rnacentral:lncRNA from 13 species
CAGGAUGCCGGCUGAGAGAGUUGAAAAACUUUUUUUUUUUUUGCAGACUAAAGCUUUAUGUGAAAUUCUGUAAAUGUGUAUAGAGCUGCGUGUGGCCCCCUGUGCCGGAGGCCUUGUCUGUGGUGAUGUGGAGGCUCAGCACUUGCUGUAGAUGGCCAUGCUGCCCCGCUCCUGAAUCUCUUCUUGCUGACCCAGAGCUGUUGGAAGGCCUGCAGGGAGGCCAGGAUGGAGCCGCUGGUCCACACAGAGAUCUUCCUCUCGGGACUGGCAGCCACCGCAGGGCUGUCCCCGGUGCAGAGGAGGCUCAGCUCCCUCUGGAAGUGCUUGGGGAAGCCAUACAGCAUGGUGCAGCCGCCACACAGCAGCACAUUGGCGACCAUCGCCUCCUUGAAGCCCGUGUCCUGGCAGUGGCCCAGGCAGGUGGCCGUGAGCUCCGGGAGGCCAGGCUGGGUGCUGCCUGCCAGGGAGGGCUUGAAGAGCAUCUCAGAGCAGCAGAAACGCUCCUGGCCGAUUCAUGAGCUUGCCGUCUGGGAGCUCAUAGUCCACGAGCAGCUCCUCUGGGACCAGGGCCAGCUCCUGCUCAGGCAGCAAGGCCUCAUAGCAGCACUUCUUGAUGUGCUCUAUGAUGUGCAGGUGGUCAUCCGUGAAAGCAUGGCCCGCCUCGUUGAGCAGCUGCAUCAGGUAGUUGGUGAGGUCACCCCCAGUGUAGUCAGCGCGGCUGGUCAGGCCUGGCAGCAUGUGCGAGACGCCGUGCCUGCUCUCCACCACGAGCCCCGAGGUCUUGCUGGUCGAGUAGAUGGACAGCAGCGACUGGGACGUCGCGUGCAUGGCAGGGAUGCCGAAGGCCUUCAACAUGAGCUCAGUGUACUUCUACGGUUUCUGCUGGGGCUGAGGGGAUGGUCCAAGACCAGCACAGCGUGCUCCUCGGGGAUGAUCUUUGUGACUGUGUCCUGCAUGCAGUCCCAGUCCACCACGACACCGUGCUUCAGCGGGUUCACCAGCUUGAGAGGCACCUCUGUGCUCAGCAGCUCAUGGCCCACCAAGGUCUCCUUGCGGGUGUCACUGGCGUCGGCCGCCUCGGGGACCUCAUCCUUCAGGAAGUGUCUAAUUAUCACCCAGAGAGGGUUCAUCAGGGCAAAGUCUGGAUGGCUCCUUCAUAGACUGUGUGAUGUCCUUUUAGUUGCUUCCUCUUGACAACUGAAUAUUAUACCAGAUGAACAUUUCGAAUUCAACUUGCAUGGUUUGUGAGAACCCAGUCAUUGUACUGUUUUUAAUUGUUCACAUUUUUACAAAUAGG